rnacentral:rRNA from 1 species
CCUACGGGAGGCAGCAGUGAGGAAUAUUGGUCAAUGGACGAGAGUCUGAACCAGCCAAGUAGCGUGAAGGAUGACUGCCCUAUGGGUUGUAAACUUCUUUUAUAUGGGAAUAAAGUGUUCCACGCGUGUGAUUUUGUAUGUACCAUAUGAAUAAGCAUCGGCUAACUCCGUGCCAGCAGCCGCGGUAAUACGGAGGAUCCGAGCGUUAUCCGGAUUUAUUGGGUUUAAAGGGAGCGUAGGUGGGUUGUUAAGUCAGUUGUGAAAGUUUGCGGCUCAACCGUAAAACUGCAGUUGAAACUGGCAGUCUUGAGUACAGUAGAGGUAGGCGGAAUUCGUGGUGUAGCGGUGAAAUGCUUAGAUAUCACGAAGAACUCCGAUUGCGAAGGCAGUUCACUGGACUGCAACUGACACUGAGGCUCGAAAGUGUGGGUAUCAAACAGGAUUAGAUACCCCUGUAGUC